rnacentral:rRNA from 1 species
AUUGAACGCUGGCGGCAUGCCUUACACAUGCAAGUCGAACGGCAGCACGGGAGCAAUCCUGGUGGCGAGUGGCGAACGGGUGAGUAAUAUAUCGGAACGUGCCCGGUCGUGGGGGAUAACGUAGCGAAAGCUACGCUAAUACCGCAUACGAUCUAUGGAUGAAAGCGGGGGAUCGCAAGACCUCGCGCGAUUGGAGCGGCCGAUAUCAGAUUAGGUAGUUGGUGAGGUAAAGGCUCACCAAGCCGACGAUCUGUAGCUGGUCUGAGAGGACGACCAGCCACACUGGGACUGAGACACGGCCCAGACUCCUACGGAGGCAGCAGUGGGGAAUUUGGGACAAUGGGGCGCAAGGCCUGAUCCAGCAAUGCCGCGUGCAGGAUGAA